UCAUGUUCAGAGGCAUCAAAGUAUUCCCUUGCUGGAUAAGUUCGCACACUACAACUAUCGAAUACACUCAUGUCCACGUAGAUAACAGUGGUCAGGACUCGUCAUAGUUUUGUCUAUAAAUAUAGCUCCUCAUCUCAUUCUCAUUUCAUCUCAAUAUCAAAACCAAUAUACAGAGUUAUAGCCUUAGAGGUAGAAGCAUACUAACGUUGUUGAGAAUUUCAAUUAGCGAGAGAGAAGUAGGUGUUAAGAGGAGAUUUAGAAAGCGAAGGUACUUUUAGUUUUGAUAUAAAGUUAGUAACAGAGUUUGAGAGAGAUGGGAGUUUCGCUAGAAAAAAACGUAAGCAAUUCUGCUUUGCCAUUGUUAUCUCUAAACCAUGUAUCAUAUCUUUGUAAGUCAGUUACGGAAUCAUCCAAGUUUUAUCAAGAAGUUCUUGGUUUUGUCCUCAUUUAAAGACCUUCUUCUUUCAAAUUUGAAGGAGCAUGGUUAUUCAACUAUGGAAUUGGGAUACACUUGUUACAGUGUAAUUCCAUUAAUGAUGUCCAACAAAUGCCAGUAAAAAUCAACCCAAAAGAUAAUCACAUUUCUUUCCAAAUAUUGAAUUUGUAAAGAAGAAACCACGAGAGAUGGGAACGAAGUAUGAAACUGCCCUCGUCGAAGAAGGCGGUGUUUUCGUCAAUCAGCUCUUCUUCCACGACCCUGAUGGUUAUAUGAUUGAUAUCUGCAACUGUGACAACCUUCCAAUUAUUCCACUAUCUUCAAGUGCAUGUCCCAUGCUUAAAAAGCCAAAGUC